GAAGCCCCGGCACCUUUUGGGGUGCUUCUCCAGACUUGCAAUCUGUUAUGUAACUGACACUGCGAGG
rnacentral:tRNA from 1 species